rnacentral:rRNA from 1 species
UACAGAGGGGGGCAAGCGUUAUUCGGAAUUAUUGGGCGUAAAGGGCGCGUAGGCGGCUUUGCAAGUGACGGGUGAAAUCCCUCGGCUUAACCGAGGAACUGCCUGUCAAACUGCAUGGCUUGAGACCGGGAGAGGUGAGUGGAAUUCCCAGUGUAGCGGUGAAAAUGCGUAGAUAUUGGGAGGAACACCAGUGGCGAAGGCGGCUCACUGGCCCGAUACUGACGCUGAGGCACGAAAGCGUGGGGAGCAAACAGG